rnacentral:rRNA from 1 species
CCUACGGGAGGCAGCAGUGGGGAAUAUUGGACAAUGGGCGCAAGCCCGAUCCAGCAAUGCCGCGUGAGUGAUGAAGGCCUUAGGGUCGUAAAGCUCUUUUACCAGGGAUGAUAAUGACAGUACCUGGAGAAUAAGCUCCGGCUAACUCCGUGCCAGCAGCCGCGGUAAUACGGAGGGAGCUAGCGUUGUUCGGAAUUACUGGGCGUAAAGCGUACGUAGGCGGUUAUUCAAGUCAGAGGUGAAAGCCCGGGGCUCAACCCCGGAACGGCCUUUGAAACUAGGUAGCUAGAAUCUUGGAGAGGUCAGUGGAAUUCCGAGUGUAGAGGUGAAAUUCGUAGAUAUUCGGAAGAACACCAGUGGCGAAGGCGACUGACUGGACAAGUAUUGACGCUGAGGUACGAAAGCGUGGGGAGCAAACAGGAUUAGAUACCCUGGUAGUCCACGCCGUAAACGAUGAUAACUAGCUGUCCGGGCACUUGGUGCCUGGGUGGCGCAGCUAACGCAUUAAGUUAUCCGCCUGGGGAGUACGGUCGCAAGAUUAAAACUUAAAUGAAUUGACGG